UAGGAAUAAGUAGUUUAGUGUCUGAAUGGA
rnacentral:piRNA from 1 species